rnacentral:rRNA from 1 species
UACGAAGGGGGCUAGCGUUGCUCGGAAUCACUGGGCGUAAAGGGUGCGUAGGCGGGUCUUUAAGUCCGGGGUGAAAUCCUGGAGCUCAACUCCAGAACGGCCUUUGAUACUGAGGAUCUUGAGUUCGGGAGAGGUGAGUGGAACUGCGAGUGUAGAGGUGAAAUUCGUAGAUAUUCGCAAGAACACCAGUGGCGAAGGCGGCUCGCUGGCCCGAUACUGACGCUGAGGCACGAAAGCGUGGGGAGCAAACAGG